UGUAUUUAAAAUUUCAAAACUUUUUUUUUUCUUUCUUCCAUUUGCAGUAUUUGCUGUCUCUUUUAGAAGUCCCAGCAGAACACAUAUGUUAACAGAAAAUGGAUGAAUGAGUACCCUCUAGAGGCAGAGUUCAGCUGGGGAAAAUUCCAAGGUAUGGAGAAGAAGUAUCAGAGAACAUAAACAAGGCUUCUGUGAGGAGAAGAGAGUUGGGAUUACUCAAGACUCACAUAAAUACAAACAGGAACAAAAGAGGAAAAGAAUUACAGCUUGCAUUAAGUGUAGAAAACCUGCAAGAUGGGCAGAACUCUGACUUUAAAAUGUUACAAACUUCCUAGUAAGUAUGCCAACUGCUUACAGUGUUGAAGCUUUAAUUUCAUUGUGUGAUAAAGGAAC
rnacentral:lncRNA from 1 species